AACGAACGCUGGCGGCAGGCUUAACACAUGCAAGUCGAACGCCCCGCAAGGGGAGUGGCAGACGGGUGAGUAACGCGUGGGAACAUACCCUUUUCUACGGAAUAGCUCUGGGAAACUGGAAUUAAUACCGUAUACGCCCUACGGGGGAAAGAUUUAUCGGGGAAGGAUUGGCCCGCGUUGGUUUAGCUAGUUGGUGGGGUAAAGGCCUACCAAGGCGACGAUCCAUAGCUGGUCUGAGAGGAUGAUCAGCCACAUUGGGACUGAGACACGGCCCAAACUCUUACGGGAGGCAGCAGUGGGGAAUAUUGGACAAUGGGCGCAAGCCUGAUCCAGCCAUGCCGCGUGAGUGAUGAAGGCCUUAGGGUUGUAAAGCUCUUUCACCGAUGAAGAUAAUGACGGUAGUCGGAGAAGAAGCCCCGGCUAACUUCGUG
rnacentral:rRNA from 1 species